rnacentral:rRNA from 1 species
CCAGCCAUGCCGCGUGUGUGAAGAAGGCCUUUUGGUUGUAAAGCACUUUAAGCGAGGAGGAGGCUCCUUUAGUUAAUACCUAAAGAGAGUGGACGUUACUCGCAGAAUAAGCACCGGCUAACUCUGUGCCAGCAGCCGCGGUAAUACAGAGGGUGCGAGCGUUAAUCGGAUUUACUGGGCGUAAAGCGUGCGUAGGCGGCUUUUUAAGUCGGAUGUGAAAUCCCUGAGCUUAACUUAGGAAUUGCAUUCGAUACUGGAAAGCUAGAGUAUGGGAGAGGAUGGUAGAAUUCCAGGUGUAGCGGUGAAAUGCGUAGAGAUCUGGAGGAAUACCGAUGGCGAAGGCAGCCAUCUGGCCUAAUACUGACGCUGAGGUACGAAAGCAUGGGGAGCAAACAGGAUUAGAUACCCUGGUAGUCCAUGCCGUAACGAUGUCUACUAGCCGUUGGGGCCUUUGAGGCUUUAGUGGCGCAGCUAACGCGAUAAGUAGACCGCCUGGGGAGUACGGUCGCAAGACUAACACUCAGAUGAAUUGACGGGGGCCCGCACAAGCGGUGGAGCAUGUGGUUUAAUUCGAUGCAACGCGAAGAACCUUACCUGGCCUUGACAUACUAAGAACUUUCCAGAGAUGGAUUGGUGCCUUCGGGAAACAUUAGAUACAGGUGCUGCAUGGUCUUCUGCGGUCA